rnacentral:rRNA from 1 species
UACGUAGGGUGCAAGCGUUGUCCGGAAUUAUUGGGCGUAAAGAGCUCGUAGGCGGUUUGUUGCGUCUGCUGUGAAAACUCGGGGCUUAACUCCGGGCCUGCAGUGGGUACGGGCAGACUAGAGUGCGGUAGGGGAGACUGGAAUUCCUGGUGUAGCGGUGAAAUGCGCAGAUAUCAGGAGGAACACCGGUGGUGAAGGCGGGUCUCUGGGCCGUAACUGACGCUGAGGAGCGAAAGCGUGGGGAGCGAACAGG